rnacentral:rRNA from 1 species
GACGAACGCUGGCGGCGUGCUUAACACAUGCAAGUCGAACGGUGAAGCGCCUUCCUUUUUGGUGGGUGUGGAUGAGUGGCGAACGGGUGAGUAACACGUGAGUAACCUGCCCCCUUCUUCUGGAUAACCGCAUGAAAGUGUGGCUAAUACGGGAUAUUCUGGGUCUGUCGCAUGAUGGGUCUGGGAAAGAUAUUGUUUCGGUGGGGGAUGGGCUCGCGGCCUAUCAGCUUGUUGGUGGGGUGAUGGCCUAGCAAGGCGGUGGCGGGUAGCCGGCCUGAGAGGGUGGCCGGUCACAAUGGGGCAGGGACACAGCGGGGACUCGUAAGGGAGGCAGCAGUGGGGAAUAUCGGACGAUGGGCGCAAGGCUGAAGCAGCGACGCCGCGUGGGGGACGGAGGCCGUCGGGUUGGGAACCUCUUUGGCCAGUGAAGCAGGCCUGCCUCGUUUGUGGGUGGGUUGACGGUAGCUGGAUAAGAAGCGCCGGCUAACUACGUG